rnacentral:rRNA from 1 species
UUAUACCGCAUGUGGUCGCAAGACCAAAGCCGGGGACCGCAAGGCCUGGCGCUUUUUGAGAAGCCCGCGCCAUCAGCUAGUUGGCGGGGUAACGGCCCACCAAGGCUAUGACGGGUAGCUGGUCUGAGAGGACGACCAGCCACACUGGAACUGGGACAGGUCCAAACACCCUUAACGGGUGGCACAGUCGAGAAUUUUCCCACAAUGGACGAAAGUCUGAUGGAGCGACGCCGCGUGAAGGAUGAAGGUUUCCGGAUUGUAAACUCCUGUCAACUGCAGAACAAGGCCGGGGCGAUUGAACAUUUCGGUCCGGUUGAUGGUAUGCGGAGAGGAAGGGACGGCUAACUCUGUGCCAGCAGCCGCGGUAAGACAGAGGUCCCGAGGCGUUGUUCGGAUCCAUUGGGCGUAAAGGGUGUGUAGGAGGUCGGGUAAGUCAGGUGUGGAAAUCUCACAGUUUACUGUGAAACUGGCUUGAUACUGGCCCGGUUAGAGGGAUCGGGAAGGGGGGUAACGGAUUUUAUGGUGUAGCAGUGAAAUG